rnacentral:rRNA from 1 species
GAUUUCUUUCACCAGGGACGAAGCGUGAGUGACGGUACCUGGAGAAGAAGCACCGGCCAACUACGUGCCAGCAGCCGCGGUAAUACGUAGGGUGCGAGCGUUGUCCGGAAUUACUGGGCGUAAAGAGCUCGUAGGCGGUUUGUCGCGUCGUCUGUAAAAUUCUGCAACUCAAUUGCAGGCGUGCAGGCGAUACGGGCAGACUUGAGUACUACAGGGGAGACUGGAAUUCCUGGUGUAGCGGUGAAAUGCGCAGAUAUCAGGAGGAACACCGGUGGCGAAGGCGGGUCUCUGGGUAGUAACUGACGCUGAGGAGCGAAAGCGUGGGUAGCGAACAGGAUUAGAUACCCUGGUAGUCCACGCCGUAAACGGUGGGUACUAGGUGUGGGUUCCUUUUCACGGGAUCCGUGCCGUAGCUAACGCAUUAAGACCCGCC